rnacentral:rRNA from 1 species
CCUACGGGUGGCAGCAGUGAGGAAUAUUGGUCAAUGGACGGAAGCCUGAACCAGCCAUGCCGCGUGCAGGAAGACGGCUCUAUGAGUUGUAAACUGCUUUUGUACGAGGGUAAAUCUGAAUACGUGUAUUUAGCUGAAAGGACUGUACGUAAAAAGAUCGGCUAACGUCGUGCCAGCAGCCGCGGUAAUACGGAGGGUCCAAGCGUUAUCCGGAUUUAUUGGGUUUAAAGGGUGCGUAGGCGGAUUGGUAAGUUAGAGGUGAAAUGCCCGGGCUUAACUCGGGAACGGCCUUUGAUACUGUUGAUCUUGAGAGUAGAUGAGGUAAGCGGAAUGCAUUGUGUAGCGGUGAAAUGCUUAGAGAUCAGACAGAACACCGAUUGCGAAGGCAGCUUACCAAUCUAUAUCUGACGCUGAGGCACGAAAGCGUGGGGAGCAAACAGGAUUAGAUACCCGGGUAGUC